AUGCAGUGUACCCGCGGCAAGACGGAAAGACCCCGUGAACCUUUACUAUAGCUUGACACUGAACAUUGAGCCUUGAUGUGUAGGAUAGGUGGGAGGCUUUGAAGCGUGGACGCCAGUCUGCGUGGAGCCGACCUUGAAAUACCACCCUUUAAUGUUUGAUGUUCUAACGUGGAUCCGUAAUCCGGGUUGCGGACAGUGUCUGGUGGGUAGUUUGACUGGGGCGGUCUCCUCCUAAAGAGUAACGGAGGAGCACGAAGGUUGGCUAAUCCUGGUCGGACAUCAGGAGGUUAGUGCAAUGGCAUAAGCCAGCUUGACUGCGAGCGUGACGGCGCGAGCAGGUGCGAAAGCAGGUCAUAGUGAUCCGGUGGUUCUGAAUGGAAGGGCCAUCGCUCAACGGAUAAAAGGUACUCCGGGGAUAACAGGCUGAUACCGCCCAAGAGUUCAUAUCGACGGCGGUGUUUGGCACCUCGAUGUCGGCUCAUCACAUCCUGGGGCUGAAGUAGGUCCCAAGGGUAUGGCUGUUCGCCAUUUAAAGUGGUACGCGAGCUGGGUUUAGAACGUCGUGAGACAGUUCGGUCCCUAUCUGCCGUGGGCGCUGGAGAACUGAGGGGGGCUGCUCCUAGUACGAGAGGACCGGAGUGGACGCAUCACUGGUGUUCGGGUUGUCAUGCCAAUGGCACUGCCCGGUAGCUAAAUGCGGAAGAGAUAAGUGCUGAAAGCAUCUAAGCACGAAACUUGCCCCGAGAUGAGUUCUCCCUGAGACUUAGAGUCUCCUGAAGGAACGUUGAAGACGACGACGUUGAUAGGCCGGGUGUGUAAGCGCAGCGAUGCGUUGAGCUAACCGGUACUAAUGAACCGUGAGGCUUAACCUU
rnacentral:rRNA from 1 species